UUUUACAGGUGGAGGACACUCACAUUUUCUCUCCUCAUCUUUUCUGGCUAUUUUUUUUAACCAGCUUUGCAUUUGUGUAGGGUCAGUGUCACUACAGGUAGCAUGAGGUAAUACCUGGACCCUACAGAAACUGCAGAGGUAGUCCGACCUAAAUCCAAUAGACGACCUCUGGCACAUCAUGUGUCAGUCCAUCCCACACUGCCAGGUUCCACCUCAGACCGUGCAGGAGCUCAAUGAUGCCCUGGUCCAGCUCUGGGAGGAGAACCACAGGACACCAUCCUUCAGAAGAAGCCCUGAUGUCGUCAGACAUGCAUAAACUUGAGGAACAAAGCGUGACAGCAAAUAUGCAAACUUCUGCCAAUUCGCUCUUUACAUAAUGAACAGCUUGUUUUGUGAAGUUUGGCAACUUCUCUGCAGAGAUGCUCAUGGCUCAGACAUGAGAUAAAUGAAUGGACGUCAUCCCCCCCAGAGAAACAGAAGAAACAGAGAAAUACUCAGUUAGUUAAACUGCUCCAAUUUAAAU